rnacentral:rRNA from 1 species
UACGGGGGAGCAAGCGUUGUUCGGAUUUACUGGGCGUAAAGGGCGCGUAGGCGGUCAGCACAAGUCAGUUGUGAAAUCUCCGGGCUUAACUCGGAAAGGUCAACUGAUACUGUGCGACUAGAGUGCAGAAGGGGCAACUGGAAUUCUCGGUGUAGCGGUGAAAUGCGUAGAGAUGUGGAGGAACACCGAUGGCGAAGGCAGCCUCCUGGGCCAGCACUGACGCUCAUGCACGAAGCGUGGGGAGCAAACAGG